rnacentral:rRNA from 1 species
UACGGAGGGUGCAAGCGUUAUCCGGAUUUACUGGGUUUAAAGGGUGUGUAGGCGGGCUUUUAAGUCUGGGGUGAAAUCCCGAAGCUCAACUUCGGAACUGCCUUGGAUACUAUUAGUCUUGAAUUAUGUUGAGGUUGGCGGAAUAUAACAUGUAGCGGUGAAAUGCAUAGAUAUGUUAUAGAACACCGAUUGCGAAGGCAGCUAACUAAGCAUAUAUUGACGCUGAGGCACGAAAGCGUGGGGAUCAAACAGG